CCAGUUCGGAUUGAGGUCUGCAACCCGACCUCAUGAAGCCGGAAUCGCUAGUAAUCGUGGGUCAGCCAUACCACGGUGAAUACGUUCUCAAGCUUUGUACUCACCGCCCGUCAAGUCAGGGAAGUUGGGAGUGCCCGAAGGACAUACUCGUUAUGUACCAAGGCAAACUCAAUGACAAAGACUAAGUCGUAACAAGGCACGGGUAGCGGAAGCUGCUCGUGGAAUCAUUCAAAA
rnacentral:rRNA from 1 species